CAAUACCUCGUGCAUCAUAAGUGGUGGCUCCUGAGCCAGGCAGAGCCGCCGUGGAAUGCCAUUUCCCUGGGCGAGAUCCAGAGGGAGGAUUCGGGAGAUGCUGGAGAUUCGUGUGUUGAAGCCCAAUGUGACUGUGUUUGGAGACAUGACCUUUACAGAAGUAAUUAAGAUUAAACGAGGUCAUGGGGUAGGGCUUUGACCCUACAGGGUUAGUGUCCUUAUCAGGAAAGAUACCAGAGAGGUCUCUAUCUCCGCCCUGUGAGGAUACAGUGUGAAGGCACCAUCUGCAAGCCAGGAACAGGACCCUUCCCAAGGACGAAUCUUCUAGCACUUGAUUGUGGACUUCCCAGCCUCCAGAACUGCACUCAGCAAUAAACAGCUAUAUCUGGGAAGCACCAGCAUCUAGAUUCUGCUUAUCAGAAGAGUGAAUUGAAGGGAAACUGGAUGGCAUAGAAAAGUCAGGCGGGAGCAUUUUCCAUGGCAACUCUCUGGGUGACUCUAAAUGCUUCUUCUUUAUGAUUCUGAGUAGCCCCCUUUGCCUGUGUCAGCACCCUGUGGAGAACACUCUGGUAAAACUGAGUUCUGAUUCAUCUUUUGAGAAACUCGAGAAAUGAGAGAAUUCAACCAAAGGCAAACUUUUUAAAUUGUCUAAAGCAGAGUAGACCUUGUAAAUUUAUUCAUCUGAGCAUGAUGAUGGUCGGGCAUGCAUAUUUGAGAGAAGCAGCUUGAUAAAAGCGGUAUGACGGAAGGAGAAGAAUUUGGAGUUCCCAAGGCAAUCCUGGAGGGAAGAGGUGAGAGGGUGAGGGAGGGGAGGAAGAAGCAGGAGGAGGCAGUCAAGGAGGCAGAAGUCUCUACGGUUAUGUUACUCUUGCCUCUGAACCACACCCCUCCAUCUUCAGAAAAGCCUGUCAACUCAGGUGCUUUUUAAAAAAGCCAAAUAGACUCCAGGGCCCCAUGUGGUCCAGUCUCAAGCUGGUCUCGUGGACAAAGUAAUGCAGUCCACAAGCUGAAAUUAAUAGCUAAUUCCAAACUUUACUUGAACGUCUGUAAUAACGUAAAAGGAAGUGUAGUAAAUAAACCACAUGAGACGGAGUAUAAAGCAGGGCUGAGAGCCUGGGGUCUGGGCCAGACAGCUUGAGUUUGAGUUCUGGUUCUGCCCCUCAUAUGCUGUGAGAUCUUCGGUGAGUCACUAAACUUCUCUAUGCUUUAGUUCCCCCAUCUGUAAAAGGAAGAUGAUUAUAGUAUCUACUUAUUAGGGUGGUGAUGAGAAUUAAAUGAGUUACUAUUUGUCAGGACCUCAACACAGCACCUGACACAUGGGAUGAGCUACAUAAAUAUUCGUUAAAUAAAUAACUGAAUCUUAGGAUCUGCUUUCUCUAACUCUCAACACGAAAGGGUGUUUCUAGUUUUCCUCUCUCUGCCUUUUGUUUUCAUGACUUUUCCACUCUUUUCUUUUACUCUUUCUCUUUAAGAAAAGUCUGCAUUUUCUAAUGCAAUCCCCAACCUUUGAUUCUCCAUCUCCCCCACCCUGGGAGCACCCAGAUCUCCACACCAGGGGCCAAGAGAGGGCUUGGAGAGGAGAAGACAGGAAAAUGCAGAGGAGACCACAUCAGAAUUUGCCCUGCUAACCCAGGAUGGGGGAGUAGGAGAAGAGCCAUGAAUUUGCAUUUUUGGAUUAUACUUUUCUGUUAUAUUUGAUGUGAAUGACCUUCGAGGGAGAAUGCAAGGAAGCCACUAAGUUUCAUAUCAGGUGGCAGGUCUAAGUCAGCAUGAGAAAGCGUGGAAAGUGUAGGUGACCACAAGAACCCAAGGUCACUUGAGAAUUCACAGAAUCCUUGGCAACUUUUGACUUCCACAGGCUCUGGAAAUGUAGGAAGUGUGAUCCAAUUUCUUUAACAUCUUGAGAGGUGGGAAAUAUGAAGUACUAUUCAGAAUAUGGAAAAAUGAAGAAAUGGGUUUCUUUUGAAGGGAGAUAAACAUUUAUCAGAACCCUUAUAACAAGUGGGAGAGGAUUCGUGGUGUUCAAGAACUUAAUCUAUUGUACAGGAGGAAGGACAUUUAUUAGGUUAAAUAAUAAGUACACAAAAUGUAUUUGGUAUACAUACGAUGGUAUACCUACAUACAAUCAUUUUUACACACAAAGAACCAUAUGCUUAUAUAUGUGGAAAUGAAUACAUUCAAUAAGUGGAUUAGAAGAGUAUGUUUAGCUAAAAAGACAUAUGAGUAAUAUAGUGAAAACGUAUGAUUCUACAAUCUGAAAACUCACAAAAUGAAGUAAAUUAAGGAUGCGGCUGGAGACUGGUAUCAGUUAAGGAUGGAUGGCCCCAGCUUCUCUCUUGGUUACCCUGGUAAAUAGACUUCUCUGCUCAUGCUAUCGAUAUUAUAAUGAGCAAAACCACAUGCAAAUAAAGUAGAUGGAAAGGGUGGGAGAAGACAAGAGGGUGAAUGACUUGCCCAAGACAUAGAGUAGUAAGCUUGGAGUUCAUAUAACUAUUGCUUCUUCCUCUGGCCUGAUCAAAACCAAGGUAAAGAAACCAAGCGUUGGUGUCUCCCACAUUGCCUGCCCCUCUUCUUUGUUACCACAGCUAGGUUGACGUGUCUAUAGACCAAAGGGUGGCAGAACAUCUUCUCCUGGUGGGUUUGAGGGGUAGGUGGGAAUGCCUGCAAAUGUGAGCCUUGAUUGCCUUCCCUCACCCUGGACAAGACUACCCAGGAUGGCAAAGUGGACCCAACUUACAACUCAUAUGGAUUUCUGUGGAUAGGAAAAAAAUACUGUGAACAAGCAUAGAGGAUAGAAUUUUACAACUGGCAGUCAUUCUCCCAGCUUCCCAUUGACUAUGCUCCCUGGGGAAGGGGAGAAUCCUUCCUCUGCCUGCGUGUGCAAACUCAGGUUGGUCCUAUUAGCUCGCUAGUCACUCACAGAUAAUAAAACAUUCUUUGGUCAAUUUUAGUCAUAAACACGGCAUCAAUUUUAGUAAUUUAAAAAUGUUCAGUCUCACUGAGGGGAAUGAUUACUCUCAUUUUUUUCAGGUAAGAAAAUUAAAGUUUAGAGAGAAUAAUUGAUUUAAUAAAGUUCCCAGAGGUAGAAAGUGGGGAAGCCAGGAUUCAAGCCCACGGCCCACGUCAGUGUCGCUCUGCAGCUCACACUUUCUCCUCUCCUUCCAAUCUGUUUAUCUACCCUUGAGUGACUGAUGAGUGAAGGACUGAAAAUGGUUGCAUCCCAGUUUCUUAGCAGGUCCUACGUAGGUGAUGUUCUUAGAGGCAGAACUCUGAGAUCACAUGAAAAGUACCACUUACCAUUCUGUCCCUCUAGGAAGAGAGGGGAAUUAUUUACAGCAGGGUUUCUUAACCUGCAGUCCAUGAAUGAUCUGGUGGAAAGAUAAAUAUUUUUCUUUAGAUCAUUUUUUGUGUCACUUUGUAAAUUAUCUUUGUGAAAAUAAUAUGUUUUUUCUAAAUGUAAAAAUAUUUUUGAUGAGUGGUUUCACUGCAAACAUGUGUAGGAUGGAAAGGAUGUUACUGUACAUGGUGGGUAAUAGACACUCUAGUGAUUACUCCGACUUCCUGUUGGCAAGAGGACUGUCCCACUGAGAGAAAUGGAUGACAAUCCCCCUACCUUUGUGAAUUUGCCCUCCUGUCUUUCUUACCUCGGGCCUAGCUUAAGUGGGAAGAUAUCAAUAAAAAGAAAUGAUGUCUAAAUUUACACGUAUCCUUUGUUUUGAUUUUUAUCAAUGAUCCUGAUCAGGACCAACCCCCGUGACCCACUCCCCCACAAAAGCUGCAGUGCUUAUUGUAUGGCAAAAUUGUGUCUGUCUAUCCCGAAAAUACAUUAGACAAGGCAGACAUUUUUCCUGAGAAGGCUUGAUUUUAAAAGGCUGGAACUGUAUUUAAACUUCUG
rnacentral:lncRNA from 1 species